rnacentral:lncRNA from 1 species
GCUCAUUCAAGCCAUCAACUGGGAUGCUACAAAGUGAACUUUGGUUGUGUUUGUCAUUUGCUAACUUAUCCUCAGACAGCAAACCUACCGACUGAUGUGGAAAUGGUUAGUCUAUCUGUCUCAAGUCUGGACAGCUGGUGACACUUGUAGAUUUUUUUUACAGGGUCUUCUUUUUUGCUUGACAAAACCAUCACCAUGGAUACGCCAGAUCUAGGCCACAAGAAGUGGGUCAGGAACGAUGGAUGGAGCGAAAUGUGUUGAUGCGGAUCAUUUUCCCCUACUUUCCCACAUGGCGUGUGGAUGGAGAGAAUGAUCUCACUGCUGUCCUGGCAUCUCUCAUACCUCAGCUACUGCCUUCCUCCCUCCAGCGCAGCUAGAGGACCCAGACAGCUCGACCUUUAUGAACCGUUAAUUAACAAGUCAAAAUAUAUCCCAUGAAAAAAACGCCACUGCUUUACGGCAAAGCUAACGCUGGAUGACCCAGACUUGAAAAGCCCAGGGAUAGACGGCUCAAAGAUGAAAGCAUUGUGACGGUCAACCAGGGCAGGGAUAAAUGAUGAGUUGGCAGAAAAGGCCUGGAGAAGGCUUCCUUAUGCAACACAGCGGACUGAGUGGCAUGGACUGGUAAAGGUUAAAUAUAUCCAGUCAAGUGUCACAAAAUCCAACUUGAUUGUUUCACUGUGACCUGGUUUUGUGAUUCAUCCUUUUUUAAACCAAGUUUUAUUCUGAAAGCAAAUUCAAACUUGGUUUAAACAAGGAUGAACAACAAAAUAAGUUAAAUUUGAUUUCAGCUCCCUUCCACUCUUUUAAACAGUAAGAUUUAAGCCAGAGGGUAUUUCUCACGGUGCAUUUCAUAUAUGCAUAUGUACAUUGCAGAUGCUAUUAAGUUUUGUGUUCUGCCAAAGACUGGUGAGUCAGUGGUGCAGCUCUGUACAUUUGAGUAUGCAUGCAGCAUACUGUUGUUCAGCAUUGAGCAAAUGUGCAUUAGUGCACUUUCCAGAUGAAUGAAAUAAAAAAAUGUUAAAAAAUUAUGCAUUAAAUGGAAUGAAAUGUAUGUAUUCACUACUAUAAGUCGCUCUGGAUAAGAGUGUCUGCUAAAUGACUAAAAUGUAAAACGGACAGGGAGUGUGGCUUGAACACUCAACCUUCUGUCCCGAAGCCCACCGGACCAUCGACUGUGCCACAAAAGCAUGCUGAAGUGGCAGAGUUGAUAUCUGCGCUUAAAACAUAGGGACGCUACAGUACAGUGCACUCGGAAAGUAUUCAGACACCUUAACUUUAUCCACAUUUUGUUACGUUACAGCCUUAUUCUAAAAUUGGUUAAAUUGCUUUUUUUCCCUCCUCAAUCAACUACACACAAUACCCCAUAAAAAAUAUGACAUUUACUUAAGUAUUUAGACCCUUCACUCAGUACUUUGAAGCGCCUUUGGCAACGAUUACAGCGUUGAGUCUUCUUGGGUAUUGCGCUACAAGCUUGG